rnacentral:rRNA from 1 species
UAACCAUGUCGACCUUAGCCAAAUACCGCGUAAUAUACUGAUUAGUGUCGCGCACGGAUUCCUGAACGAGGUUCUCACAUUUCCU